GAAACGGAUGGGCCCUCGAAAUCCUGCGGGGGGCGGAUUCAGUCGGGUGCCGCCGGGCGCUCCGAGAGCACGCGAGGUGCCGCAUUCCGGACCGCUCUCGGAGGCGCAGGCCGGGGCCGAACCGACGCACUUCCGCCCUCCCAGAGGACGCCGCGGCCGGUCGGGCCCGAGAAGGGAAGAAGUCUGCGGACGAGGCGGGCGCACGGGAGGCGGCCGGCGCAGGGGGCCCAGCGUCCUCCGCCGGUCGACGACCGGCCCGUCCGACGCGGGACGCCCGACCGAGGAACACGGGGUCGAGCAUCCCUCGACCCGCCUCCGCCCGCGCUCCUUUCCAAAAAAGAUAGAGCUGCGGGGUGGCGAGAGCGGGGACACGGCGCAGCGGCGCGUGGCCGUUUCCAGCCGCGAGAGCUGGACGCGCCCGUCCGUCUCGAGCGCGUUCCCCGCGACCUCGCGGGAGACGGCGGGAGGCUCGCGGCGAGUAGGUCGGUCCCCCAUCCGACCCGUCUUGAAACACGGACCAAGGAGUCUAACGUGUGCGCGAGUCCAAGGGACUUGAACAGGCCCGCGGGCGCAAUGAGAGUGAGAGGUCGGCUUCCGGGCCGUCCGACGUCGGGAUCCCUCCGUCCUCCGCGGCGGAAAAAGCGGGCGCACCGACGACCCUCGCGAGGACUUCCGACGGACUUCCGUCGGCCCGCGGGGGGUCCGAGCGCACGGGUUAGGACCCGAAAGAUGGCGAUCUAUGCCCGGGCAGGACGAAGUCAGAGGAAACUCUGAUGGAGGUCCGAAGCGCUUCUGACGUGCAAAUCGAUUGCGAGACCUGGGUAUAGG
rnacentral:rRNA from 1 species